UGCCCUGUAACUCCUAUCCCUACCUCCGCGUGGCAGCGGCCGGACUGCGAGCAACCUUAGGGAAGAUUGGGCAACCAACCCGGUGGAACUUUGGUCGUGGGCUGACAGGGAAGG
rnacentral:ribozyme from 1 species